AGUGAACGCUGGCGGCGUGCCUAAUACAUGCAAGUCGAACGAAGUGGCGCACGGGUGAGUAAUAUAUAGUUAAUCUGCCCUACACAGAGGAACAACAGUUGGAAACGACUGCUAAUACCUCAUAGUGUAGGAUGAGACUAUAUCGUAUCAGCUAGUUGGUAAGGUAAUGGCUUACCAAGGCUAUGACGCGUAACUGGUCUGAGAGGAUGAUCAGUCACAUUGGAACUGAGACAGAGUCCAAACUCCUACGGGAGGAAGCAGUAAGGAAUAAUGCGCAAAGGGGGAAACCCUGACGCAGCAACGCCGCGUGGGGGAUGAAGGCUUUCGGGUGGUAAACCUCUUUCGCUAUCGAACAUUUUUUGGUGGGUUGAGGGUAGGUGGAGAAGAAGCGCCGGCUAACUACGUGCCAGCAGCCGCGGUAAUAC
rnacentral:rRNA from 1 species